GUUUCAUUUACUAUUGAUUUUUGUGAACUAUGUCCUCCAUAGUAAAAUCACAGUUGUCUCUCUUUGUAAUGUCAGCAAAUGCGAUGACACGAGUCGAUAGAGAAAGAAAGCACGCAAAUAUGUUUCAGCGCAUGUGGAUUCAUUGUCUAACGAGGAUAGCAUUCAUCAAAUGCUGAUGGUAAAAUAGUUUUUGCAUCUUGUGUACCCAAAAUUUGCUCAUUAUUUAUGCGACCACAAACAAUUGGAAAUUAUCCGAAUCGAGGCAGUCGACAAGGGUUUCCAUCUUGCCCUCUUUCCUUUGUUAUCUAGUCAUUUGGAAAUAAUUAUCAUCUGUAUAGAUUUACCACAAGAUAUAGUAGGGCUUGGUGGAAUUUUUCGGCGAAUUUGUCGAUUUGCCGAUUCAUAGAUGCAAAAGCUUUAAUCUUAGUGUUGACAGGUGAACAAGGAAAUAAAACCCAUAGGCUAUGCCAUAGGACGUACUUUCUAUUAUGACGCCUUUGCUACUUAGUUAUGCACACAUUUAAAUCCAUAUCAGUAAAAGAGAUGAUAUAUUAAAAUUGUUUUCAAUGAUUUCAGUACGAAAAUGUAUGAAAUAAUAGAAAUUUACGGCAUGCACAUAGGGGAAAAGAUUGAACAGUUGAAAUAAAAAAAAUAAAAAUAAAAAAUCAGAAAAUUUAUUUACUUGCGAAACUUGGUGAUACAUACAAAUUGUGUUGUUUUCUAUCAAUAUGCCUUUGAAUUAAUGUCAAAAAUAAUUAUCUCAAGCGAAAACUACAGGAAAAUUGUUACUGUUCAGAGAAAUAACAAAUUUUUCCAAUAAAUUAUAUAAAACAUGAUAAAAGACAAUAACAUACAAAUAAAUCAUUUUGGACCAGAAAAGUGAUCCCAAACCCAUAUAGAGAUUCAUAUAUAUAUUAGCCUUUCCAAGCUAUGCAAGAGUUGUGUCCUUUUGUCUGUCAAAAUUAUUACGGUAUUGACGUUAUUCAGUUGAGCCGAACUGCAGGAUUCUCAAAAUAUUUCUCUGAUUCGACUGACUUCGAGAAAACGAGCGUGAAAAGAUGUCCUACAUUGUCAUCAGCCAGAGUACUCUGGUCUGUUGGAAAUUUUCCUAUUUUUAUUAUUAAAAUGAGUGACUGGUGAAAAAUAAUGUUCUUCCAAUUCUAGAACCAAUGCAUACAAACAUCAUAAACUUAGUCUUCUGUGCUAUUAUCAUUUUGUGAAUUUAUCAUUUUUUUUGUGUAAAUUUGGUAUAAUUGUCAAUUUUUUUUCAAUCGGUAAGUGUUGUUGUGAAAAUAUGGCAGGUAAUUAAAGCUCGUGCUUUGAAACCGAAGUUUAACGAUUGUCACCUGUUUGUCAACAAUCGACUAAAAAUCAACAAAAAGCAUGGAAAUUGAGCACGUGUUUAACAUGUAAAUUCAGAUAAUAGUCUAUUUUAAGGACAUCCAUGCGUAUUGCGAUCACUGGGUUUUUCCGAGAUGGGUCACACUGAGGUCACUUUGCAUAUGGAAAAUAUGUCGGGGGGGGGGGGGGGGGGGGGAAUUGCUUCAUGGAAGGAAGCAAUUAAAAUAAAGUAAACUUCUUCUAAAUAUGAAUAAAUUAAAGAAUUUUUUUCAGAAAAAAGUAUAUAUGUACAUAAGUUUUAUAAUGAAAACUAUCCAUUGACACAUGAUUGAGUUAUAAAAAAACAUAUGCAUUAUUUUUUUUAAUUUGAGGUUUCUUAUGACUUUAAUUCAAGUGUUGUUUGGAAAUUUGUUAAAGAUAUAUUGGGCUUAGACAAUCCCCUUGAUGUACAAAUUGCAAAAGCUCUUUUCGCAUGUAAAGGAGUGCUUUUAAUUGUUUACACACACUGUAUUCAUUACAAAAUGUGACAAUUCAUUCCAUCAUGUGACAGGCAUUGUCACACAUUCUUGUGUAAAUGAUAUAGAUUUUUAGAUUUUGUUUCGCCCUCUACAAACUUGCUUUAUAGGUGAAACUUGGGCAUGCUGUUUCCUGCAGCACCAACAAUGAAUUUAAGUUCUUGGGUAAGUUAGUUCAAGGUGAACCACUAAUACAUGUAUAUGCCAAUAUUGUCAUCCUGAUCCUGGCUAUUGUUUUGUCAGAUUCCCUUAUAUCAUGUGAGAUAAGAAUUUGCAGCAAUUUUUUAAUUGACUGCUAGUAUUUUAUGGAAAAGGCAGUUGAAAUUAUUUUUGUACACACAUUCAAACAUUUAUUUAAAUCUUGAAUUAAUUUAACUACUUAUAGAUUAUCGUUGAUCAUCUCAACGAGAUUUAUUUUCUUGCUUGAGCUGGGAUGGCAAAAGCAAGAAAAGCAUUCGAGUUGAGUUGACCAAUGAUAAUCUGUUUAUCGCUAUUUUAACUAUGACAACAUUGUCAAUUUCAUUAGCAACGCCACAUGCCUCCUUAGUUUCUAGCGUAGCAUGAUAUGAAAAGUUUUCACAAAAAAAGAUCAAAGGAAAAAUGUGCAAAAUAGCAAUAAUAAGAAAAUACUUCAUCACAAGUCAAUAUAAAUUUUUAUCUAAAACAUGGAUUGGUACUGAAAUGUUUAUCUGAUCUAACAUUUGUCUAAACUUCUUUUUUUUUCUGAUAGAAUAAAAUUUAGUGGUCUGCAAUCAUAUGACAACUAACUUUAGUAGAGACUUAUAUUGCAUGAUAAUAAUCAUGAUAAUCAGUUUUAUAUGAGAAUUCACUGUCUUUAUAUAUCAUGAAUAAAAAAAAAUUAAACAAUGAGGGACACAAAAAAUCUCCUUGUUUUACUCAACUUCAUAUUUCAAAAACUAAGUACUGAUUUUGCAAUUUGAUGGCCAUGAGUUUACCAACAUAACAUUCUUUAUUUUUUUUAAACAACUGAAUUUUGGAAUAAAAAAAAAAUAAAGCCUUGUUUACAAAGCCCACACUUCUUGAAAAGUGGUGGUCCAAGGGUUUUGACCACCACAUUUUCAAAGGACCACCACAGUUUUGGUCUUUUGCAAUAAAAUUAAAAUUCAGGACCAGCAGAUUUCUUUCAAAGAACACCAUGAAAAAGAAAAUUUUCAAGAACUAUGAGAACCAGUUACCUAAGCUUAGUAAUUGUUCAAGAUUAUCCUUUAAGUAAUGAUAUUUAUUAUAUACGGUGGCAGAUCCAGGGGGAGGGUUCCUGGGGUUGGAACCCCCCCUUUUUUGGACAAUUACCUUGAUCAAUGCAUUUGAAUGGGGACACAUAGUUUGAACCCCCCCUUUUUGUCCUGUGUUUGGAACACCCCCUUUUUAAAAUGGUUGGAUCCACCCCUGAUAUAGAAAGAGAGAGAGAGAUGUGGAUACCAUUGGCUUAGGUGUUUUGAGAUUGCUCGCCUUGAUGAGACAUUGGUGAACAUGCUUUUCAGGUGUUGAGGUUUUCAAAGUCAACAUUUUAGUAUUCAUUUUUAUACGAGGGCAAAAAAUUGCUAUCAUGACUAUAUCUUUAUCUGAAGACAUUUUGUUUCCUGACAAUAACUUAAGUAUAUUAAUGUGAAUUGAUCUCUAUGAAAUUAACCACAAGGUUCAAUAGCACAAAAGGAAGGUUGUGAUUGAUUUUUGGGGUUAUGGUCUAACCUGUUUAGGAAUUAGGGUUUAAAAAAGGAGCCAAAAAUUGGCAUUUUCAAAACUUUUUCUAGUUUCCAGACAGUAACAUGUGUAUACUGCACGGAUCUCUAUGAAAUUGAAACGCAAGGUUCCCAGCGGCGGAUCCAGCCAUUUUAAAAUGGGGGGUUCCCAACCCAGAGUUAGGGGGGGGGGGGUUCCAGCUAUAUGCUCCCAUUCAAAUGGAUACGUCAAUGGUUUCUCACCUCAAAAGAAUGUAGGUUUGACUUUGUGGGUUAUGGCUAAAACCAAAUAGGAGUAAGAGGUAAAAAGGGGGAACAUAGACAGCUAUCUACAGCUAUCUAUAGUUAAAAAAAAAAUAAACAAAAGACAGAGGACAACAUUUGUGACAUGUUACAAAAUUUCCAUUUUCAUUAUUAUUUGGCAAUCCAAAAAAAAAAUUCUCUACACUUGCUCAUUAUGCUUGUUCGCUGCGAGGGAGCUCACUACAUAAUAUAUAAUAUGGAGACAAAAGGGAUUUAGAGGUCAGCAAACAGUCUUUGACAUUUAUAUUUUGUUUAUUUGAAUUUAGAACAUGUAGAAUUGAUCAAGUUAAUUAACAUGAUUAAGAUGAAGAAAUCUAAUUUUAUAUUUUGCAGGUUGUCACAAUUCUCAGAAUAGCUUCAAGAAUCUGCACCAUGAAGUAGCACACAAGUUUUAAAUGGUGAGUCAAAU
rnacentral:lncRNA from 1 species